GGCAUGGGCUCAAAAUGGGCUUCUUAUCUGGGGCCCACUUGGGUCAACUGAGUAAGUCCAACAUGGGCAAACCCAGUUGGGCUCCCUUUGUGGGGCCUAGGUGGUUCACUAAUGGGAAAUGAGUGCAUGGGUUGAAAAUGGGCUACACUUGGGGACUAAUUCAGUUUACAGAGGAAGUGCAAACAGUCAAACCCAAUUUUUUUUUUACAGAUAGUACACACAUAUGCACCUUUGAAAUUGCUUGUAUCUAUACAAAUGCCAACACAAUUGCAAUUUUAACACAUUUUCGGCCAAUUAAAAGGAUCAAGACCCUUCAGAUACUGUCACAGUGGUGCAGUCAAAAGUAUGCACACUUUUACUCACAAUAUAAUUUAAACAGUUACAAAAAGACACCUAAAGGUACAGACACAACGGUGACACACACAAAAAAAAAACUUUGCAUGAUAGAUCUCGCGAGAUUUCAUUCAACACUUCCCAUCCCCCUCGCCCUUUUCGCGCUCGCGAGGCCACAACACCAUUCACUCUCUCAGUCUCACUCCCACUCUGCUGUAAUUUUCGGGAGGAGAUUUGGAAGAUUCUCACUGUCUUCGUAGUCAAGGCUAAGUCAAGUUACAGCACUUCCAGAAGAUAUUGUUUUCCCCCUGAGGACGCUCUUGGAGGUUGCUGCAAUGGAGCAGAAAUUGGCAGACCCAACCUUCAACAAACAAGUGGUUGGCGUGGUGGCAGAAAUUGGAGGAAGAACAUUGGAUGAAGCCACCAGAAGAAUGAUGGCCUUCCUUUUAGACCACUCCCUAUCA